UACAGAGGUCCCAAGCGUUGUUCGGAUUCACUGGGCGUAAAGGGUGCGUAGGUGGCCGGUUAAGUCUGACGUGAAAUCUCCGAGCCUAACUCGGAAACUGCAUCGGAAACUAUCCGGCUCGAGGGUUGGAGGGGGGACUGGAAUACUUGGUGUAGCAGUGAAAUGCGUAGAUAUCAAGUGGAACACCAGUGGCGAAGGCGAGUCCCUGGACAACUCCUGACACUGAGGCACGAAAGCUAGGGCAGCAAACAGG
rnacentral:rRNA from 1 species